GUCUACAGCCAUCACCCUGAACACACCUGAUCUCGUCUGAUCUCAGAAGCUAAGCAGGGUGGGGCUUGGUUAGUACUUGGAUGGGAGAUAGGUCAUAGAUGAAUUGAUGGAUGGAUGAAGGAU
rnacentral:rRNA from 1 species